UUAAAAAGCUCGUAGUUUGGAUACGGUGUGCGGGGCGGGAGCGCUGACGGUAGGGGCAGCGCGACUCGAUUCGCCAGACCCCUCGUAAGAUCCGGCCUUUGGUCUCUGCCCUGCGCUUUUGGAGGCACGUGAACUCGGAAGACAUUCUGUGCUUGGUGUCAUCGUUACUGUGAGUAAGAUAGAGUGUUCAUGGCAGGCAGCCGCUAUGAAUGUUUCAGCAUGGGAUAAUAAACUAGGCCGCUGUUUCCUGGAACGGUAACAGGUCUGCAGCGGCCAAGAUCAAGAGGGACAGUCGGGGGCAUCCGUAUUUCAUUGUCAGAGGUGAAAUUCUAAGAUUGCUGAGGGACGACCGACAGCGAAAGCACUUGCCAAGGAUGUUUUCAUUGACCAAGGACGACAGUUGGGGGCCCGAAGACGAUUAGAUACCGUCCUAGUCCCAACCAUAAACAAUGCCGACUAGGGAUCGGCAUCUGUUGGUCCGACAACGGUGCCGGCACCUUACGAGAAAUCAAAGUUUUCGGGUUCCGGGGGGAGUAUGGUCGCAAGGCUGAAACUUAAAGA
rnacentral:rRNA from 1 species